rnacentral:lncRNA from 1 species
UUUUUUUUUUUUGUAGGUUUGGAGAGAGCUUCACAGUUUUUCCUUUUUUUCUUUUUUUAAAUUAAAGGUUUCAUUUUAUUUUUUUGGGGAAAAUGGCACAUGUGAAAUUUGUUGAUUUGUUAGUUUAUUAGGAAUUUCUAUUUUUGUAUUAAAUUUAAUUUUUAAGGUUUAGCCAUGAGUCUAAUAAUAAUUAUUUUUCGAUUUGUUAGUUUAUUAGGAAUUUGUUUUUUAUUAUUUUUAAUUUUUAGGUUUAGCCACGUGUGUACUAAUAAAUAAUUUUUUGAUUAUAUCCGAGAGAGGUAUUUCAACCAAGGUAGGCUGUGUUUAGUUGACUUACUUUAUUAAAGGCUUGGAAUGUCUAACUGACAAACAACAAUAACUAUCCAGUAUAAUCCCACCAAGUGGGGUCUGGGGAGGGUAGGAUGUACAUAGGCUUACCCCUACCAGGGUAGGGAGACUGUUUCCGAAUAACCCUCGGCUAAAGCAGGUGAAGGAAUCCCUGAUAGCAAGUGAUAGCAAGACAAAUAGUUAGAAAACUAAACCGGAGAUAACAACAAAGAAUAACAAGAUAGUACCGAUAACAAGUAAUAUCAAGAUAGUAUAUUUAGACAGAUAAGUCCAAGGCAACACACGAGAAUAUGACGAAGUCCUGCUAGAAAAUUACGGAAUUACCGAAGGUAAGUAGUAACAGAACAAGAAACACGGCUAUACUAUGGAAAAAGGAUACUAUACUAGCAGUAAUGCUAUCGAAUUAGGGAAGACAAAGGGAAACGCCCGACUAUAUUCUAACCUUCCACCAUAAUCUUCUACCUCCACACCCUUCUAUCUAGGGUUAUUUCCUCGGUCAGCUCAAGCUGCACCAUGUCCUACCUGAUCACUUCACCCCAAGGAUUCUUAGAUCUACCUCUACCCCUCCUCUCACCUCCCAAGGCCAACCUCUCAUAUCUCCUGACUGGGGCAUCUGUGCUUCUCCCUUAACAUGCCCAAACCAUUUCAACCUUGCCUCACGCAUCUUUGCCUCCACAGGGGCCACUCCCACCUUGUCCCGAAUAACUUCAUUCCUAAUUCUAUACAAUCUAGUGUGUCCAUACAUCCAUCUCAACAUUCUCAUUUCUGCUACUCUCAUAUGCUGGACAUGUGACUUGUGGAAUGUCUAACUGCAAAUGAGUUUAAUCGAGAUGUCUGCUUAGUUGUUGAGGACAAUUUAAAGUGACCGCUUUAUGUAUUUUGCCUAAAAUAAAAUAAGAAAUAACCUCUAGCACAUGAAGUUGUCUAUACUUUCUAACGACCUAGUUUAGAUGACUAAACAUUUGCAAAAUCAUGAAAAUUGUAGGUUGGUGUAACAGUAUAGAUGUGGCUCUACGCCAUCGGAUUCACGAGCUUGUAAAAGUUCCAUAACGUAAGGUUACUCCCUCAGAUUUGUACCUCCUAAAAAUUAUCUGGAUUUUUGAAACUAUACAUUAAAAUUGUCCAGUAACGUUUUCUGAGCCAUACUACUAAAGUCUAGUAGAGGGUAGUGAAGAUAAAGGUGAGAAAGAGUGUGCCUAUUUUUUAGAACCAGUUUGAAUUCAUGUCGCGCGAUCGAUUGCAGAAGCCACCUUGUCAGGAGACUGGUGGCGCAGUAUAGGGAGAGAAAGAAAGACUUGAAUAUGGUGUACAUUGGCUUAGAAAAAGUAUACAAUAAAGUCUCAAAAGAGGUUCCAUGGAAAUGUUUGGAGGCUAGAGGUAUACAUGUAGAAUAUACUAGGGAGAUUAGGGACAUGCACGAGGGAGCCAAAACCAGGGUAAGGAUUAUGGGAGGAAACUAGGGGACACUUUUCAGUCAUGAUGGAGUUGCACCAGGGAUCAGCUCUUAGCCCAUUUUUAUUUGUCUUGAUGGUGGAUGUACUGACGAAUCACAUUCAAGGGGGUGUCAUGAUGGAUAUUAUUUGCAGAUGACAUAGUACUGAUACGCGAGCCAGUAUUAACAUUAGGCUGGAGAUUUAGAGACAUACCGUGGACCCGAAAGGCUUCAGGUUGAGCAGCAUUGAGACAAAGUACUUGGAGUGCAUAUUCAGUGACGUACGGCUUGCGUGGAAGUGAGGAUUCAUUCAUAAGUUAUCCCAUGAGAGAAAGUUUUAAGUAUCUUGGACCGAUAAUCCGAGGAAACGGGGAGAUCAACAAUGAAAUCACAUCGUAUUGGAACGGGUGGAUGAAAUAGAAGCUAGCAUCUGGUGUCUUGUGUGAUAAGAACGUGCCGUCAAAAUUUAAAGGUAAGUUAUACAGAAUGGUUGUUAGACCAACUAUGUUGUAUGGAGUAGAGUGUUGGUCAGUCAAGAAUUCUUUAUGUCCAGAAGAUGCAAAGAGCAAAAAUGAGGAUGCUGAGAUGGAUGUGCAGGCAUGCUACGAGAGAUAAGAUUUGGAAUGAAGAUAUUUCGAGACAAGGUGGAGCCUCCUAGUGGACAAGAUGCAAGAAGCAAGUUUAAGAUGGUUUGAGCAUAUGAAGAGGGGAUGUCCAGAUGCCUCAGUAAGAAGAUGUGAGAGGUUGGACAUAGUGUGUUUGAGAAGAGGUAGACGUGGGCCUAAGAAGUAUUAGGGAGAGAUAAUUAGGCAUGACAUAGCACAACUGCGACUUACCGAAGAAAUGACCCCUACUAGGAGAGUGUGGAGGUCGAGAAUUAAGGUAGAAUGCUAGUAGGUAGUCGAGCAUCUAUCUAAUGCAUACCUGAUGUAUCUGUAUUAUUCGUGUAUUUUCUUUUCCUUAGAUUUUGAUACUACCGGUUGUUUAUUGUGCUUUGAUUAUCUCAUUAUCUUGUUUUAUUCCUGCUUUUUCUCAUGAUUUCUCCACUACCGUAUUUAUUUUUAUAACUGUUGCGAUUAUGUUUGUCAUCAGCCGAGGGAGGGUCUAUCGAGAACAGUCUCUCUAUCUAUACAAGGUAGGGGUAAGAUCUGCAUACACACUGCCCUCUCCAACUCUAUUUGAGGAAUUACACUAAGCUUGUUAUUGUUGUUGUGGUAAUAAUAUUUGCUUAAUGAUAAUUGUAAGAAAGAAAAAAAUGUCAAUUUCCAACCCUUUUUCUUUUUUAUUUUUCUUCCACUUUGAGGAGCAGGGAACACACCAUGCACGUUUUGCUUUGGGGAAAUUAAGGGCCUGAAGAAUUGGACUCCCUAUACUAAAAGUCUCUAGUUUAUGAUCCUCACUUUGUUUAAAUAGAUAUGGAAUAUGCCACUGUAGAGGCACACAAUUAAAUAAUGAGCCACAUCCACUCGCAAUUAAAGAUGUAAGAAACACCAGAAAGAAGAAAAAAGAAAAAGAGGAUGCGACUCCUCAUUCUGCUUGCAUUUUCUAUAGAAAAUUGACAAUCACAAAGAUCUCAACCCCUCCUUUUUCUCUGCGCGAAAUCAUAAUAACACAAAUAAUUCAAUAUUUUUGAAAACUUAUAACUUAUAAAUUUAUUAUAAUUGCGUUCUGAGUUCUUAAAGUCAAAUUGAAAAUUACAUUCGGGAGAUUUGAAGUUCUGCAAGCCAAGCCAAGGGCGUGCGGUUCUAACAUCCCCUUUUGUAAAGUCUAUUAUCUUUUGUUGUUUUCUUCAGAUAAACAUUCCUCCAAGAUUAAAUUACAUAUCGUUCCAUUAUAGGAAAACGAUGCAUCAAAUUUUGGUUUUAUCGUGUUGCAAUAUAAUUCCUCGAUGAUUGUAUAGCUGUAUAGCCAAAAUCAUUUGGCACAAAGGCAAAUUGGCCAUUUUAAACUAGGUUAAACCAAUCAUCAAUUACCUCAUGGAAAUACAAUUGAAAAUCCCUCCAAUUGACCAGGAGGUUUGUCCCGACUAAGACAAAAGGCCAUAUUUAAUAAAUAUAUAUUGAAUUCGUGGAAAGAAACAAAUAUAUUACAAAGUGUAGAUUCAUCAUCCAAGGGUAAUCUGCAUCGACGUUUUUAGCCUCAAACAUUUGCUGAAAACGCCUAGAAGAUUAUGUCAAUAUGCGUUUCAGAAUUUCUGUAUCCACACAAAAUAGCAGUGAUUUCCUCAAACUGACACUAAAAUAGAAACUUUCUCAUUCAAUAAAUAUUAACAUAAAGUGUUUUAAGAAAUAAAAAGAACCACAAAAGAGCGAAUCCAGAUAAAGAAGAAAAUGAGAGAAGACAAGGAAAAAAACAACACAAUCACUCUCCUCAAACUACAACCAACCUAGAAGAGAAAAGACUUGGAGCUGGGGAUGGUGAUGGUGCCAGGCCAAAAAGGACACUGCAGGCGGCACCUCACAAAUAUGCUGAGAAGAUAACCCAAAUUGAGUUGAAACAUGAGAUACACUGGCAAUAAUUGUUUGUUGCCCUCCAUUCAUAGCCCCACCACCUCCAAACUUAUCCAUCCCAGCAAAACCAAAUUUACUGGGGACAUACUAGCAAAAGCGGGAAAACAAAGAGGAAACUUGCACUUUAAGUAAAAUAACAACACCUUAAAAGCACUUCCUGUGGACAAUGGAAGGACCAGACUCAUCAUACUCACCCUUUGAGAUCCACAUCUGAUUAAGCACAAAGACAACAAAAAAUCAGUCUAACUAGAAUGUAUUUGAAAUGGAGAAUAUUAAUCCCACAAGAAUAAAAGCUCACCUGCUGGAAUGUGCUGAGGGAUGCAAGAAUGGAUCCUCCAAUCCAGACACUGUACUUUCUCUCUGGUGGCGCAACAACCUUAAUCUUCAUGCUGCUUGGAGCUAAAGCAGUGAUUUCCUUGCUCAUCCGAUCAGCAAUACCAGGGAACAUGGUGGAGCCACCACUGAGAACAAUGUUACCAUAGAGGUCCUUCCUAAUAUCCACAUCACAUUUCAUGAUGGAGUUGUAGGUAGUCUCAUGGAUACCUGCAGCUUCCAUCCCGAUCAUCGAUGGUUGGAAGAGAACUUCCGGGCAACGGAACC